UAUUUGCUAUUGUUGAUAACCGUACCCUAAACCGCAUCAGGUCUCCAAGGUUAACAGCCUAUGGUUAAGUGGAAUAAAGUAGAUGAGGGAAGUCGGCAAAUUCGAUCUGUAACUUUGGAAAAAGGAUUGGCUCUGGACGUCAGUGAUUUAACUUGUUAAGUCACAAUUAUGACAUAUCCAGAACUGGUGUUGACUAGAGGAAUCUGACUGUUUAAUUAAAACAAAGCAUUGUGUAAAGUUGAAAAACUAUACACGCAAUGUGAUUUCUGCCCAGUGCUCUGAAUGUUAUUGUGAUGAGAUUCGCAUAAGCGCGGGUAAACGGCGGGAGUAACUAUGACUCUCUUAAGGUAGCCAAAUGCCUCGUCGUCUAAUUAAUGACGUGCAUGAAUGGAUCAAUGAGAUUCCUACUGUCCCCAACUACUAUCCAGUGAAACCACAGCCAAGGGAACGGGCUUGGCAAUAUAAGCGGGGAAAGAAGACCCUGUUGAGCUUGACUCUAGUUUGAUAUUGUAAAACUACUUGGAAGAUGUAGUAUACGUGGGAGCAUCUAAUGCGACAGUGAAAUACCACGGCUUCUAAUGUGGCUUUGCUCACUCGGAAUUAGUGGAUCUGCUCUGCAGAAACGCGAAACUAAAGUGUAAACGACAUUCACUGAGGACAUUAUCAAAUGGGGAGUUUGGCUGGGGCGGCACAUCUGCUAAACAUCAACGCAGAUGCCCUAAGGUUAACUCAAAGAGAACAGAAAUCUCUUGUAGACCGAAAGGAGAAAAGUUAGCAUUAUUCGGAUUUGUAUCAUCAAUAAGAAUUGCGAAAGCAUGGCCUAUCGAUCCUUUAAGCCCAGAAAAGAUUCUGGCUAGAGGUGACGGAAAAGUUACCACAGGGAUAACUGGCUUGUGGCAGCCAAGCGUUCAUAGCGACGUUGCU
rnacentral:ncRNA from 1 species